rnacentral:sRNA from 1 species
UGACCCUUAUUAAGCCGAGGGUCACCUAGCCAACUGACGUUGUUAGUGAACCUUUAUUGUUCACAAAAAAUAUAGCGCCAAUCACUCUUAUUUUGUGAUUGGCUUUUUUUUG